UACGUAGGGUGCGAGCGUUGUCCGGAAUUAUUGGGCGUAAAGAGCUCGUAGGUGGUUUGCUGCGUCCGCUGUGAAAACCCAAGGCUUAACCUUGGGCUUGCAGUGGAUACGGGCAGACUAGAGGUAGGUAGGGGAGAAUGGAAUUCCCGGUGUAGCGGUGAAAUGCGCAGAUAUCGGGAGGAACACCGGUGGCGAAGGCGGUUCUCUGGGCCUUACCUGACACUGAGGAGCGAAAGCGUGGGGAGCGAACAGG
rnacentral:rRNA from 1 species